AAGCCACCAACAGGGCCGACUGGGUUAUUUGCUGCGUGAGGCUCAGAAACAGGAGGGAGCACGUCCAGGGUUUCCCUUGGAUUCCUCGCCAAGUUAGUAAGAAGCAUGCCAUACCUAAGACCUACUACCCUGAGAAGCAGUGAAGUGCUCCUGGGGCCCACCAAGGCCACACAAGUCAAGGAGUGGAUGGCCUUGCUCCAGCUACUGCUCAGAUCACCUUUGCAAGAUGACAUUGUGUUGGGAGAUGGUCAUCAGAGCCAGGGCCAUGGAAGAUGCUGUCAGGAGGCACGAGGAAAGGCUAUGGGAGCACAAAGCAAGAAAGUGGCCUUCUGCAAGCCAGGAAGAGAGGCCUCCCCAGAAACCAACUCUGUGAGCUCAUCGAUCUUUGACUUUUGGCCUCCAGAACAUUGAGAAAAUAAAAGUCUGUUGUUAAACCACCCAACCUUUAGUAUCUUUCUAUGGCAGCCUCAGCUGACUAAUACCCUUGGACACAGGUGGAGGAAUUGGUAAUUUU
rnacentral:lncRNA from 1 species